rnacentral:lncRNA from 1 species
AACACAUCAUGAAGGCAAAUUGGAGGAAUACUGGCCAGGGCACUCUUAAGGUGAUAUGGAACAAUCUCAAGGCACUCAAACCUGUUCUAAAAUCUCUAAAUGUUAGAGAAUUUACGAACAUUACACAAAAAAUUGAAUCUAGCAGGGAGGAACUAAAGGUCAUCCAGAACCAGAUGAGUAUGCACUAUACUGAUGACUUGCAGC